rnacentral:rRNA from 1 species
AACGUAGGAGACAAACGUUAUCCGGAGUUACUGGGCGUAAAGGGCGUGUAGGUGGUUUAGUAAGUCUGGCGUGAAAUUUUUCGGCUUAACCGGGAAAGGUCGUCGGAUACUGCUGAGCUAGAGGACGGUAGAGGCGUGUGGAAUUCCGGGUGUAGUGGUGAAAUGCGUAGAGAUCCGGAGGAACACCAGUGGCGAAGGCGACACGCUGGGCCGUACCUGACGCUAAAGCGCGACAGCAUGGGGAGCAAACGGG